GACGAACGCUGGCGGCGUGCUUAACACAUGCCAGUCGAACGGAAAGGCCCUGCUUGCCUGGUACUCGAGUGUCGAACGGGGGAGUAACACGUGGGGGAUCUGCGCUGCACUUCGGGAUAAGCCUGGGAAACUGGGUCUCUAACCCGAUAUGAGCCAUGUUGAGUGUUAUGGUUUGAAAGUUUUGUCGGUGUAGGAUGAGCUCGCGGCCUAUCAGCCUGUUGGUGGGGGAAUGGCCUACCAAGGCUGCGACGGGUAGCCGGCCUGAGGGGGUGGACGGGCACAUUGGGACUGCGAGACGGCCCAGACUCCUACGGGCGGCAGCAGUGGGGAGUCUUGCACAAUGGGGGCGAGCCUGAUGCGGCGACGCCGCGUGGGGGAUGAUGGCUUUCGGGUUGUGAACGCCUUUCGCUGGGGAAGAAGCUUUUUGUGACGGUACCUAGAUAAGAAGCACCGGCUAACUACGUG
rnacentral:rRNA from 1 species